GCCACGCGCAGGCACGGUGACGCAAGUACCAUGGAGAGCAGGGGAGAGGUAUGGGUUUUGAGUGCGACGAUACAUGGGGCUUCUGAGGCUUAUCUGCGGUGAUCUACGUGUUCUGAAAGGCAUGUAUGAGGGGCACAUAACACAAACGGAAGAUGAAACAAGGAAUACAGCUGAGAGGUGGCGGGGAAAUCAUGAGUACUGCAGGACAAGCCUCGAGGAGCAGCAGGCUGUGAACCCCCUUGUCCACCCUGUGACCACUAGCCCUCAGGCUGCCUUGACGGAUAAGGUAGGGAGUGCCGGGCAGGGAGGAGGCGGCAGGGGGCAUCUGGGGGGGUUGGGAAGCAUUGUGAGGCCGGCGAGCCCCUCCACCACCCACACAACACACUUAAUAAACACGGAUUCGAGGGUAAUGAAGCAGAAGUAAGAGGCCUUGUCCCGCUGCCUUCAGGACGCGCUCUACGGGGUACCUCAGGGCCGCCUCUUGUCUCCCUCGGUGUUCUGGAAGUGGGCGUUGGCGAGGACUGUUAUACCACCUGCCUCAGGCCACCACAACCCUCAACCACAACCACCUCUUGCCUCACCACCUACUACCACACUACUACGAUAACGCCAUUGUCACCACUGCCGUUACCACCACCACCACCUUGUGCCUCCACCACCUCUACUGCUAGCAACUACGAUACUAUCACCUGCCUCAAUCCAGCUCCAUCAUAACCGCCCCUGCCUCCACCACCUCCACUACUAGUAACUGCUACAACUGUGCCUCAACCACAACUGCUACCACCACCUAGCCAUCCACCACCUACAAUAUUAGCAACAACUGUGACCGUACCACCUCCACCACUACCACCACCACCAGCACUUCCACCUUCACCAAGAAGCACCCAACGUUAAUUUUGACCAGUGAAGGGAAGACGGUGGAACAUUACGUAGUAUGAUUUCGUCGGCGUAGGGAAGACCUUACCUGCGUGUCCUUGAGUCACGGCGCAGGAAACAUUUGGAACACCUGAGUUGCUAAUUACUGUGACCUUGAGACAAGCACCGCGUCACCUGCCUCUCAUCCCUCGCUCUUCGUCACACCUGCAACACACGAACACAUAAGUCACUCCCACAUGUGUUGCUGCUGUGUUUCUGCGA